rnacentral:tRNA from 1 species
GGGCCCGUAGCUCAGGCUGGUAGAGCGCCUGGCUUUUAACCAGGGUGUCGCGGGUUCAAAUCCCGUCGGGCCCA